rnacentral:rRNA from 1 species
CGUAGGUGGCAAGCGUUGUCCGGAUUUAUUGGGUUUAAAGGGUGCGUAGGCGGUUCCAUAAGUCAGUGGUGAAAUACAAUAGCUUAACUAUUGAGGUGCCAUUGAUACUGCGGAACUUGAGUACAGACGAGGUAGGCGGAAUUGACGGUGUAGCGGUGAAAUGCUUAGAUAUCGUCAAGAACACCGAUAGCGAAGGCAGCUUACUAGACUGUAACUGACGCUGAGGCACGAAAGUGUGGGGAUCAAACAGGAUUAGAUACCCUGGUAGUCCACACUGUAAACGAUGAUUACUCGAUGUUGGCGAUACACAGCCAGCGUCUUAGCAAAAGCGAUAAGUAAUCACCUGGGGAUACGCCGGCAACGGUG